UGUCAACUAGUUGUCGGGGAUNGNUAGGCUUGGUAACGUAGCUAACGCGUGAAGUUGACCGCCUAGGGAGUACGGUCGCAAGGUUAAAACUCAAAGGAAUAGACGGGGACCCGCACAAGCGGGGGAUGAUGUGGAUUAAUUGGAUGCAACGCGAACAACCUUACCUACCCUUGACAUGUCGGGAACCCUGCAGAGAGGGGGGGGUGCCCGAAAGGGAACCGGAACACAGGUGCUGCAUGGCUGUCGUCAGCUCGUGUCGUGAGAUGGUGGGUUAAGUCCCGCAACGAGCGCAACCCUUGUCCCUAGGUGCUACCAUNAAGGCACUCUAAUGAGACUGGCGGGGACAAACCGGAGGAAGGGGGGGAUGACCUCAAGUCCUCAUGGCCCUUAUGGGUAGGGCUUCACACG
rnacentral:rRNA from 1 species